GAUGAACGCUAGCGACAGGCUUAACACAUGCAAGUCGAGGGGCAGCGGGGAGUGAGGCUUGCCUUACUUUGCCGGCGACCGGCGCACGGGUGAGUAACACGUAUGCAACCUACCCUUUACAGCGGGAUAACCGGAAGAAAUUUCGCCUAAUACCGCAUAUACUCCUUGGGAGGCAUCUUCCGAGGGGGAAAGAAUUUCGGUGAAGGAUGGGCAUGCGUCGCAUUAGUUAGUUGGCGGUGUAACGGACCACCAAGACGACGAUGCGUAGGGGUUCUGAGAGGAAGGUCCCCCACACUGGUACUGAGACACGGACCAGACUCCUACGGGAGGCAGCAGUGAGGAAUAUUGGUCAAUGGCCGAGAGGCUGAACCAGCCAAGUCGCGUGAGGGAAGAAUGUCCUAUGGAUUGUAAACCUCUUUUGUCAGGGAGCAAAGUCACCCACGUGUGGGUGUUGGAGAGUACCUGAAGAAAAAGCAUCGGCUAACUCCGUGCCAGCAGCCGCGGUAAUACGGAGGAUGCGAGCGUUAUCCGGAUUUAUUGGGUUUAAAGGGUGCGUAGGCGGGUUAUCAAGUCAGCGGUAAAAUCGUGGAGCUCAACUCCAUCCAGCCGUUGAAACUGAUGAUCUUGAGUGGGCGAGAAGUAUGCGGAAUGCGUGGUGUAGCGGUGAAAUGCAUAGAUAUCACGCAGAACUCCGAUUGCGAAGGCAGCAUACCGGCGCCCGACUGACGCUGAAGCACGAAAGCGUGGGUAUCGAACAGGAUUAGAUACCCUGGUAGUCCACGCAGUAAACGAUGAAUACUAAUUGUGUGCUCCGAAUGAGGAGUGCGUGAUACAGCGAAAGCGUUAAGUAUUCCACCUGGGGAGUACGCCGGCAACGGUGAAACUCAAAGGAAUUGACGGGGGCCCGCACAAGCGGAGGAACAUGUGGUUUAAUUCGAUGAUACGCGAGGAACCUUACCCGGGCUCAAACGCAGGAGGGAUGUUUUUGAAAGGAGGCAGCUCUACGGAGUCUCCUGCGAGGUGCUGCAUGGUUGUCGUCAGCUCGUGCCGUGAGGUGUCGGCUUAAGUGCCAUAACGAGCGCAACCCCUACCGCCAGUUGCCAACGGGUAAAGCCGGGAACUCUGGCGGGACUGCCGGCGCAAGCUGUGAGGAAGGCGGGGAUGACGUCAAAUCAGCACGGCCCUUACGUCCGGGGCGACACACGUGUUACAAUGGCAGGUACAGCGGGAAGCCACUUGGCGACAAGGCGCGGAACCCGAAAACCUGUCUCAGUUCGGAUUGGAGUCUGCAACCCGACUCCAUGAAGCUGGAUUCGCUAGUAAUCGCGCAUCAGCCACGGCGCGGUGAAUACGUUCCCGGGCCUUGUACACACCGCCCGUCAAGCCAUGGAAGCCGGGGGUGCCUGAAGUGCGUGACCGCAAGGAGCGCCCUAAGGUAAAACCGGUGACUGGGGCUAAGUCGUAACAAGGUAGCCGUACCGGAAGGUGCGGCUGGAACACCUCCUUUCUGGAGUUGCUUCAGAAUUGCCUGACAACAGCGUCUGUAAACAGCACGCUCGGAAGACCUGACGGUCUGUGCUUCUGAGAAAGAGACAAGGAACAACGUUCAUGUUCCGGAGUCUUGUACUGCUUCACAGUUCUAUUGACCUAUACUUGCACACUAUAAGUGAGCAAGCCUCGGGGGAUUAGCUCAGCUGGCUAGAGCACCUGCUUUGCAAGCAGGGGGUCAACGGUUCGAAUCCGUUAUUCUCCACAAAAGAGACUCAUACAAGAGACUUCAGAGGACAUUGACAUAUUGGAAAACUGAAAAAGAUACAAACGAGCGUUUUGGCUGUGUUCGGGCGACCGGAUGCAGGCAAAAUAAGAAAAGGUAAACAAAAAGGAGAGAAGGGCACAUGAAGGAUGCCUUGGCUCCUGGAGGCGAAGAAGGACGUGACAAGCUGCGAUAAGCCACGGUAAGAGGCAAAUACUCAUCAAGCCGUGGAUUUCCGAAUGGGGCAACCCGAUGCGAGCGAUUGCACCACCGUCAAAGACGGGGCGAACCCGGGGAACUGAAACAUCUCAUUACCCGGAGGAAAAGAAAACAAAAGUGAUUGCGCAAGUAGUGGCGAGCGAACGCGCAGAAGCCCAAACCCAUGAUGUGGCAACGCAUCUAUGGGGGUUGUAGGACCGCCAACAAAGAGGUCAUAAAGGUUAGCCGAAAGCGUUGGAAAGCGCUGCCGUAGCGGGUGACAGCCCCGUAGGCGAAAACCUGAAUGAAAUCGAGGCGGCACCUGAGUAGCGCGGGACACGAGAAAUCCUGUGUGAAUCUGCGGGGACCAUCCCGUAAGGCUAAAUACUUCCAGGAGACCGAUAGCGAACC
rnacentral:rRNA from 1 species